AUGAUUCACACAUACAUAAUUUGGGACGAAGUCGCUAUGACAAAACGACAAGCAGUUGAGACGCUUGAUAGAUCACUAGAGGAUAUAAUGGAAUGUUCUUUGCCAUUUGGAGGAAAGGUUGUUGUCUUUGGUGGUGAUUUCAGGCAGGUCCUACCCGUUGUGACACGUGGGACAAGAGCACAGAUCAUGGAUGCUACACUUCUGAGAUCCUAUCUUUGGGAGAAGACCCGCAAGAUACGUCUCACGCGCAAUAUGCGAGCGCAGGCUGAUCCUUGGUUCUCAGAAUACCUACUAAGGAUAGGCAAUGGAACUGAAGAGACAAUUGGCGACGAUUAUGUCCGUCUCCCUGACGAGAUUGUCAUUGGCUAUACCGAGGAUGAAAAAGCUACUAACAUGCUCAUCGAAGAUGUCUUCCCAUCUUUGCAGGCCAAUGCUAGAUCGAGAGAGUACAUGAGUGCACGUGCUAUUCUUUCGACCAAGAACGAUCAUGUCGAUGACCUGAAUGACAAGAUGAUCUCCAGGUUUCCAGGCGAAGAAAAGUUAUACCAUAGUUUUGACUCAAUUGAGGAUGACUUGCAGAAUAAUUACACAAUUGAUUUUUUGAACUCAAUCACACCAAAUGGCUUGCCCCCGCAUGUUUUGAAAUUAAAGGUCAACUGUUUGGUCAUUCUGCUCUGGAACCUCGACCCUCAUAAUGGUCUAUGCAAUGGGACACGGCUUAUGAUCAGAGCCUUUCAGGAUAAUGCAAUCGAUGCGGAGAUUGUUGGUGGUCAGCAUGCUGGAAAGAGGGUGUUUAUACCUAGGAUCCCUAUGUCACCCUCAGAGGACAUCCCACUUCCUUUCAAACUUAAGAGAAAACAGUUCCCCAUCCGCAUGAGUUUUGCCAUGACAAUUAACAAGGCACAGGGUCAGACCAUCCCAAAUGUCGGCAUUUACCUUCCCGAGCCAGUAUUCUCACAUGGGCAGCUAUAUGUUGCAUUGUCAAGAGGAGUGUGGAGAGAUACGACACGGAUUUUGGCCAAGCCAAACAAGGAUGUUGAUAAAUCCGGGAAAAGCACCAAGAACAUUGUCUACAAAGAUGUUUUGGAGAGAUGA
rnacentral:rRNA from 1 species